rnacentral:rRNA from 1 species
GGGUUGUGAGGUUAAGCGACUAAGCGUACACGGUGGAUGCCCUGGCAGUCAGAGGCGAUGAAGGACGUGCUAAUCUGCGAUAAGCGUCGGUAAGGUGAUAUGAACCGUUAUAACCGGCGAUUUCCGAAUGGGGAAACCCAGUGUGAUUCGUCACACUAUCAUUAACUGAAUCCAUAGGUUAAUGAGGCGAACCGGGGGAACUGAAACAUCUAAGUACCCCGAGGAAAAGAAAUCAACCGAGAUUCCCCCAGUAGCGGCGAGCGAACGGGGAGCAGCCCAGAGCCUGAAUCAGUAUGUGUGUUAGUGGAAGCGUCUGGAAAGGCGCGCGAUACAGGGUGACAGCCCCGUACACAAAAAUGCACAUGCUGUGAGCUCGAUGAGUAGGGCGGGACACGUGGUAUCCUGUCUGAAUAUGGGGGGACCAUCCUCCAAGGCUAAAUACUCCUGACUGACCGAUAGUGAACCAGUACCGUGAGGGAAAGGCGAAAAGAACCCCGGCGAGGGGAGUGAAAAAGAACCUGAAACCGUGUACGUACAAGCAGUGGGAGCACGCUUAGGCGUGUGACUGCGUACCUUUUGUAUAAUGGGUCAGCGACUUAUAUUCUGUAGCAAGGUUAACCGAAUAGGGGAGCCGAAGGGAAACCGAGUCUUAACUGGGCGUUAAGUUGCAGGGUAUAGACCCGAAACCCGGUGAUCUAGCCAUGGGCAGGUUGAAGGUUGGGUAACACUAACUGGAGGACCGAACCGACUAAUGUUGAAAAAUUAGCGGAUGACUUGUGGCUGGGGGUGAAAGGCCAAUCAAACCGGGAGAUAGCUGGUUCUCCCCGAAAGCUAUUUAGGUAGCGCCUCGUGAAUUCAUCUCCGGGGGUAGAGCACUGUUUCGGCAAGGGGGUCAUCCCGACUUACCAACCCGAUGCAAACUGCGAAUACCGGAGAAUGUUAUCACGGGAGACACACGGCGGGUGCUAACGUCCGUCGUGAAGAGGGAAACAACCCAGACCGCCAGCUAAGGUCCCAAAGUCAUGGUUAAGUGGGAAACGAUGUGGGAAGGCCCAGACAGCCAGGAUGUUGGCUUAGAAGCAGCCAUCAUUUAAAGAAAGCGUAAUAGCUCACUGGUCGAGUCGGCCUGCGCGGAAGAUGUAACGGGGCUAAACCAUGCACCGAAGCUGCGGCAGCGACGCUUAUGCGUUGUUGGGUAGGGGAGCGUUCUGUAAGCCUGUGAAGGUGUGCUGUGAGGCAUGCUGGAGGUAUCAGAAGUGCGAAUGCUGACAUAAGUAACGAUAAAGCGGGUGAAAAGCCCGCUCGCCGGAAGACCAAGGGUUCCUGUCCAACGUUAAUCGGGGCAGGGUGAGUCGACCCCUAAGGCGAGGCCGAAAGGCGUAGUCGAUGGGAAACAGGUUAAUAUUCCUGUACUUGGUGUUACUGCGAAGGGGGGACGGAGAAGGCUAUGUUGGCCGGGCGACGGUUGUCCCGGUUUAAGCGUGUAGGCUGGUUUUCCAGGCAAAUCCGGAAAAUCAAGGCUGAGGCGUGAUGACGAGGCACUACGGUGCUGAAGCAACAAAUGCCCUGCUUCCAGGAAAAGCCUCUAAGCAUCAGGUAACAUCAAAUCGUACCCCAAACCGACACAGGUGGUCAGGUAGAGAAUACCAAGGCGCUUGAGAGAACUCGGGUGAAGGAACUAGGCAAAAUGGUGCCGUAACUUCGGGAGAAGGCACGCUGAUAUGUAGGUGAAGUCCCUCGCGGAUGGAGCUGAAAUCAGUCGAAGAUACCAGCUGGCUGCAACUGUUUAUUAAAAACACAGCACUGUGCAAACACGAAAGUGGACGUAUACGGUGUGACGCCUGCCCGGUGCCGGAAGGUUAAUUGAUGGGGUCAGCGCAAGCGAAGCUCUUGAUCGAAGCCCCGGUAAACGGCGGCCGUAACUAUAACGGUCCUAAGGUAGCGAAAUUCCUUGUCGGGUAAGUUCCGACCUGCACGAAUGGCGUAAUGAUGGCCAGGCUGUCUCCACCCGAGACUCAGUGAAAUUGAACUCGCUGUGAAGAUGCAGUGUACCCGCGGCAAGACGGAAAGACCCCGUGAACCUUUACUAUAGCUUGACACUGAACAUUGAGCCUUGAUGUGUAGGAUAGGUGGGAGGCUUUGAAGUGUGGACGCCAGUCUGCAUGGAGCCGACCUUGAAAUACCACCCUUUAAUGUUUGAUGUUCUAACGUUGACCCGUAAUCCGGGUUGCGGACAGUGUCUGGUGGGUAGUUUGACUGGGGCGGUCUCCUCCUAAAGAGUAACGGAGGAGCACGAAGGUUGGCUAAUCCUGGUCGGACAUCAGGAGGUUAGUGCAAUGGCAUAAGCCAGCUUGACUGCGAGCGUGACGGCGCGAGCAGGUGCGAAAGCAGGUCAUAGUGAUCCGGUGGUUCUGAAUGGAAGGGCCAUCGCUCAACGGAUAAAAGGUACUCCGGGGAUAACAGGCUGAUACCGCCCAAGAGUUCAUAUCGACGGCGGUGUUUGGCACCUCGAUGUCGGCUCAUCACAUCCUGGGGCUGAAGUAGGUCCCAAGGGUAUGGCUGUUCGCCAUUUAAAGUGGUACGCGAGCUGGGUUUAGAACGUCGUGAGACAGUUCGGUCCCUAUCUGCCGUGGGCGCUGGAGAACUGAGGGGGGCUGCUCCUAGUACGAGAGGACCGGAGUGGACGCAUCACUGGUGUUCGGGUUGUCAUGCCAAUGGCACUGCCCGGUAGCUAAAUGCGGAAGAGAUAAGUGCUGAAAGCAUCUAAGCACGAAACUUGCCCCGAGAUGAGUUCUCCCUGACUCCUUGAGAGUCCUGAAGGAACGUUGAAGACGACGACGUUGAUAGGCCGGGUGUGUAAGCGCAGCGAUGCGUUGAGCUAACCGGUACUAAUGAACCGUGAGGCUUAACCUUACAACGCCGAAGCUGUU